rnacentral:rRNA from 1 species
GUCCACGCAGUAAACGAUGGGUGCUAGGUGUGGGAGGUGUCGACUCCUUCCGUGCCGUAGCUAACGCAUUAAGCACCCCGCCUGGGAGUACGGCCGCAAGGCUAAACUCAAGGAAUUGACGGGCCCCGCACAAGCAGCGGAGCAUGUGGUUUAAUUCGAUGCAACGCGAAGAACCUUACCAGGGCUUGACAUGCACUGGAAACCGUAGAAAUACGGUCCUCCUUCGGGGACCAGUGCACAGGUGGUGCAUGGCUGUCGU